GUACAUUUUCCCUUGGCUUAUACACAAAUAUUGAAUUUAACUUUUGUCCUAAAAAUUAAAUAAAACUGUGAUGUAAUCCCCAAAGAAAUACUUUAUAAAUGUUAUGUGCUUCCCACUGAAAGCAACUUACACAUUCUCGAGUUUCUGCAAAACUUUGCAAGCUGAGAAAUGAGUGGACUUUUUCUCUUUUAAUACAUGUGGGGGGAGGGGCAGGAGGGCGGUGAGAAAGCCUUUGAAUCUAAGAAAAGUCGUUGAAGCUUCAGUUCCUCCCAAGGAUCAUAAAUUUGAAUUUUAAGCAUCUCUAAUUGCUUCCAGGAAACAAGUUUUCUGCCUCAGAAUUAACCCAGCAGGAUAUUUAGACUGCUUCUGAGAAAAAGACGUUUAUUAAAAAGAGCAGUCACAGGGCUCUCUCAAGAAUGGAAAACAAGACUGGGUAACGGGAUCCCUUCUCUUAUCUUGAUCAAAUAUGAACUUCCAGUAAAGGCAGACAAAGUGGAAAUUGUGUUUUGCCCUCUUCUCAAGAAAAUACCUCAAGACUUUAUAAACUGUGGGGCACAUUACAAAAUGCCAUUUGCAGGGCUGACUUCACCCACAAUCACCACACCAGCUUCUUGAAAUAGAAGACCUCUGCUCUUCCUGCAUUUUAUAGUUAUUACACGAUGAUUAUGAAAUGUCAGAAUUAAAAAAAAAUUCAGACUGGG
rnacentral:lncRNA from 1 species